AUUUGGCGAACAGAAUGCUUGCAGGAGCAUUGGGCCCUGCUGUGGCGAAGUUCUGAAUAAGGUGGAACAAAGUAGAUAAAAACAAAAGGGCUUUUCUUUGUCAUUAACAGGUGUUCUCCACUGUCUAUCCAGCUCUCACCUGUGGUUACAUAAUGAAAGAACAACCGAAAAUGUUUUGUACAUUUCGUUUGGAUGGGAGUGCAUCAUUUCAUUUUGCGUCUUUUUGUCUUGUUUAUCAAGAAUAUUACCUGUUUACAUUCCCAUCCCGUUUCUUAUCAUGUAAAUUGAUAUACUUUACGGAUCACUUACAUUGGCUUGGAGAUGCUUGUGAACAAACUGCACUUAAGCAUGUGAGUCCAAUUUCUAAAUAUUGUAGAUCCAAUUAA